rnacentral:rRNA from 1 species
GACGAACGCUGGCGGCGUGCCUAAUACAUGCAAGUCGACGAGAGCGACCGGUGCUUGCACUGGUCAAUCUAGUGGCGAACGGGUGAGUAACACGUGGGUAACCUGCCCAUCAGAGGGGGAUAACAUCCGGAAACGGAUGCUAAAACCGCAUAGGUCUUCGAGCCGCAUGGCUUGAAGAGGAAAAGAGGCGCAAGCUUCUGCUGAUGGAUGGACCCGCGGUGCAUUAGCUAGUUGGUGAGGUAACGGCUCACCAAGGCCGUGAUGCAUAGCCGACCUGAGAGGGUGAUCGGCCACAUUGGGACUGAGACACGGCCCAAACUCCUACGGGAGGCAGCAGUAGGGAAUCUUCCGCAAUGGACGCAAGUCUGACGGAGCAACGCCGCGUGAGUGAAGAAGGUUUUCGGAUCGUAAAACUCUGUUGUUAGAGAAGAACAAGUGCUAGAGUAACUGUUAGCGCCUUGACGGUAUCUAACCAGAAAGCCACGGCUAACUACGUG